UACACGCUCAGAGAGAGAGAGAAAGGAAGAGAGAGAGUGUGUGUGAGUAUGGGGGGUGGGGAAGAGGAGGAAAAAUUCCAGGAAGAUGGGUGCCUAGGUGAGAACAGCUGAAGGACUGUCCUGAGAAAGAAGGUGGGGUUAUACGCUGUCUCACAGCGGGGGGCAUGGGGCAUUUGUACCAGGGCAGUUGCCAGGAGGAAGUUUUCUGCCUAAGUGCACCCAGCAUUGAUGUGGAGAAUAAUUUCUUCAUGACUGGAAGCAAUUCAGAGCAACAGAUCCCAGACAUGGUCCCAUAUAGGCCAGAUUGGCCUCAAGCUCACGAUGUAUGUCGCUGGAAACAACCUUCAAAUUCUGAUUCCCCAUCCCUACCUCCCACGUGCUGGAUUUCAGGCCUGCGCUAUGCUCCUGUUGGUGGUGGAACUCCAGCCUAAGUCUCAACCUGGGCGGCACUCUACCUGUUGAGCUGCAUCCCCAGACCACUUUUUCUUAAAACUUCAAGAUUUUCUCAACCCAAAUCCUUUGCUACUGUAGCAAAUAUGGAGCAAAUUUACAUUUUUGAACUGUGUGUCUCUCUGUCCUAGUGGAAACACUAAGGACUCUAAAGCAGUGGGUUCUCAGCCUUCCUAAUGCUGUGACCCUGUAAUCCAGUUCCUCGUGUUGUGGUGACCCCCAACCAUAAAAUUAUUGCCAUUGCUACUUCAUAACUGUAAUUUUGCUACUGUUAUGAAUCACAAUGUAAGUAUUUUUAGAGAUAGGGGUUUGCCAAAGGGUCUCGACCCACAGGUUGAGAACUACUGCUUUUAAGGAAAGUACUUCCCGUUUACUUGCUUCCUCUUCCCUCCCAUUUACUUGCCUACCUUUCCCCGCAAGGAGUAUCAAUAAACAGCAUCAACGCCGAGAAGAUCGUAGUGACACAGUGGAGCUUGACUAAGGGAGAAGGGCCUGGAGGGCCGGAAGGAUCUUCAUAGGAAAGUAGAGACUAAACAAGGUCGUGAAUGUGUUGGAGGGGAAGAAACAGACGAAGUCAGAAAAUGUAUCCCUAAUGAGUCAAAGCUAUAUGCAUGCACACAGGCAGGCCAUUGGAGUUCAAAGAUGAUUCAGGAAGCAUCCUUCUCAGUAUGCUUUGCCAGAGCCCACCUGGAAGAGAAGGGUGUAUCCAAAAGAAGCAGUGGCCUGGCAUGGCCUGCAGAGCCCAAACAUAAUGGAGAAAAAAUCCAUGGGUCUGGGAGAGAGAGACAAUCAGAAUGAAAAGGUUACAUGAACUUUUAUAUUCAUGUAACAAGAGAUCAUAAAUCAGGAUAUUCACCAAAUACCUUUGUGGAAGCAUCAGGUCAUCAGCUGCAGCAAAGAAUGGAAAUUGUUUCUACAGGACUCAGAAACUCUCUGCUGUUAUCACCUUUAAGGUUGGAGGAGGCUAGAGGUCUGCUAAGGUGUGAGACAUGCUCCGGGAGUGUCACCUAACAAUCACAAGGAUGUUAGGUCACAUACAGAGGUUUGAAAGCAAAUGACUAUUGAAGAACUGGGCUAGAUCAAGGUAAACUGGGCUCUCCGCCUGCAACAUUCCACUUCUCCACAGUCACGAUGCUCCUACUCAGCCACGAUCAGUCUGCAGCAACUUCAUUCAACACAAGUAAAGCAUCAUGAGGGGGACUUCAGCUCCUCAAUUCAUCCUGUUGACCAAGCACCACACUGGGUGUACAUAGAAGUCAAAUGUUUAGUGUCCCAGGGAACUGGGAAGGCCCAUCCUUAAGAUCUGAUGAAGAUGAGGAUGGAUAAAGAGAAGGAUCUUCAGGACAAGGAAAUAGCUGUCAUUAAGGUCAUUAAGGAAGAAGUCUCUAGAUUGUGUUAGUAUUUAUUCUGUUCUCAAUUUUCCUCUUUCUGGGUCCUAAGCAUCUGAUGUUAACACUUACAUGCAACACAUACAGGGAUGUGGUGCCUCAAGUUAAAAUAAUGCAAAGCACAGUGUAGCCUAAAGAAAAAAAACAAUAACAGAGGAAGGAAGCAGGCAUCUUCACCAGCCAGACACUCCUUCACAUGUGUGCUUUCCAACUCUUCAAACUAACAAUGUAUCUGCCCGUUGUAACUAUACCCAUCUGUACUUUACAAAGGAUUUGCUUGCUUAGAUUUGUAUUUGAAAUAACUAUCUUUAAAUUCUAAUUUUUGUCUUCUGGCCAACUGCACUUUUUGGCUCUAACCUUAUAUGGCAUGACUAAUUACAUUUCUAAGAAAGAUUGAUCCUAACUCUCAUUCAUUGCUAAUUAUUUGAUUUACCAUGUUUCUUUAAUGUUACACUGGAUUCCAGCUGAGGAAAAUAAAUGGUUCAUGACACUACAAACAGAGUUAUCUGUGGACAGUAAUGCAGUUAUCUCUUCACAUUCCUUCUGAACAACAAGACCCUAUCCCAUGUCACAAAUACUUUUAGCAGUAAGAGUGAACACAGAAGUUCAGACGUGUAAGAAAUGUGACUUGCACUAAUUUUUGUGAGCACAGACAAUUAUUCUUCUUAAUUCAUAGACAUAUUCAGAAACAAGACUCCAAUAAGUCUUUUUAAGUAUUACCAUCGACUUUACACUGGAGACUACAUGAAUGUGUUAGCAGUUUCCUAAGUCUAGCCAGCAUAUUUAACUGGGGAACACAGACCCAAGGUAUAGUGUCUUGCUGCAAGCAUCCCUUCUUUCUAUAAUUGAUGCUUUCCAGAAGACUUCAACAUUCACAGUAGCUUCUGCAAUAAAAAAUUGGUCAUUGUCCCAUAACUACUCCUAAUUCUGUCUAUAUCAGUAUUACCAAUACUUAUUUUUUAAUUAAAAUUUAGGCUCUGCCCACCAUUAGAUUUGGGGAUUGUCCUAUAUGGACAAAAAUGUCCUAGCAUUCUUUGUCCACUGCUUUCCAAGCCCAUUCACAAUUCUCUCAAGCUUCCAGAGCUUGUCCUGAUUCUUGGUUCUCCUCUAAACUCUUUCUUCCCAUUUUGGACUCAUAAUUUUUAGGACACAAAAGGAUGUCCUCCCCUUAAGUGUGAGUGUAUGUGAGUGUGUGUGAGUGUGUGAGUGUGUGUGUGUGUGUGUGUGUGUGUGUGUGCAUGCUGAG